rnacentral:misc_RNA from 1 species
UGGUUCUGGCAUCGAUGAAGAACGCAGCGAAAUGCGAUAAGUAAUGUGAAUUGCAGAAUUCAGUGAAUCAUCGAAUCUUUGAACGCACAUUGCGCCCCUUGGUAUUCCGAGGGGCAUGCCUGUUCGAGCGUCAUUGCAACCCUCAAGCCUAGCUUGGUAUUGGGUCUGGCCGUUCACGCGGCCUGCCUUAAAGUCAGUGGCGGUGCUCCCGUAGCCCUAAGCGUAGUAAAUCUCCUCGCUUUAGGACGCGGCGGUGCUGGCCAAGGACCCCUCUUCUAAGUUUGACCUCGGAUCAGGUAGGGAUACCCGCUGA